rnacentral:rRNA from 1 species
UACGUAGGGUGCAAGCGUUGUCCGGAAUUAUUGGGCGUAAAGAGCUCGUAGGCGGCUUGUCGCGUCGGCUGUGAAAACCUGGGGCUCAACCCCGGGCCUGCAGCCGAUACGGGCAAGCUAGAGUUCGGUAGGGGAGACGUGGAAUUCCUGGUGUAGCGGUGGAAAUGCGCAGAUAUCAGGAGGAACACCGAUGGCGAAGGCAGGUCUCUGGGCCACUACUGACGCUGAGAAGCGAAAGCAUGGGGAGCGAACAGG